GACCCCAUCGUCUAGCCCGGCCUAGGACAUCGCCCUUUCACGGCGACGACGCCGGUUCAAAUCCGGCUGGGGUCG
rnacentral:tRNA from 1 species